rnacentral:rRNA from 1 species
UUGCCUAGUAACGGCGAGUGAAGCGGCAACAGCUCAAAUUUGAAAUCUGGCGUCUUUGGCGUCCGAGUUGUAAUUUGCAGAGGGCGCUUUGGCGUUGGCAGCAGUCUAAGUUCCUUGGAACAGGACGUCACAGAGGGUGAGAAUCCCGUACGUGGUUGCUGGCCUUCGCCGUGUAAAGCCCCUUCGACGAGUCGAGUUGUUUGGGAAUGCAGCUCUAAAUGGGAGGUAAAUUUCUUCUAAAGCUAAAUACUGGCCAGAGACCGAUAGCGCACAAGUAGAGUGAUCGAAAGAUGAAAAGCACUUUGGAAAGAGAGUCAAACAGCACGUGAAAUUGUUAAAAGGGAAGCGCUUGCAGCCAGACUUGCCUGUAGUUGCUCAUCCGGACUUUUGUCCGGUGCACUCUUCUAUAGGCAGGCCAGCAUCAGUUUGGGCGGUUGGAUAAAGGUCUCUGUCAUGUACCUCUCUUCGGGGAGAACUUAUAGGGGAGACGACAUGCAACCAGCCUGGACUGAGGUCCGCGCAUUUGCUAGGAUGCUGGCGUAAUGGCUGUAAGCGGCCCGUCUUGAAACACGGACCAAGGAGUCUAACAUCUAUGCGAGUGUUUGGGUGUCAAGCCCGAACGCGUAAUGAAAGUGAACGGAGGUGGGAACCCCCUCGGGGUGCACCAUCGACCGAUCCUGAUGUCUUCGGAUGGAUUUGAGUAAGAGCAUAGCUGUUGGGACCCGAAAGAUGGUGAACUAUGCUUGAAUAGGGUGAAGCCAGAGGAAACUCUGGUGGAGGCUCGCAGCGGUUCUGACGUGCAAAUCGAUCGUCAAAUUUGGGCAUAGGGGCGAAAGACUAAUCGAACUAUCUAGUAGCUGGUUCCUGCCGAA